rnacentral:rRNA from 1 species
UGGGGAAUCUUGGACAAUGGGGGCAACCCUGAUCCAGCGAUGCCGCGUGAAUGAAGAAGGCCUUAGGGUUGUAAAGUUCUUUCACCCGUGACGAUAAUGACGGUAGCGGGAGAAGAAGCCCCGGCUAACUCCGUGCCAGCAGCCGCGGUAAGACGGAGGGGGCUAGCGUUGUUCGGAAUGACUGGGCGUAAAGGGCGUGUAGGCUGUUGAUCAAGUCAAGCGUGAAAGCCUCGGGCUUAACCCGAGAACUGCGUUUGAUACUGGUUGACUUGAGGACGAGAGAGGAAAGUGGAAUUCCGAGUGUAGAGGUGAAAUUCGUAGAUAUUCGGAGGAACAUCAGAGGCGAAGGCGGCUUUCUGGCUCGUAUCUGACGCUGAGGCGCGAAAGCGUGGGGAGCAAACAGGAUUAGAUACCCCCGUAGUCC